AACGAACGCUGGCGGCAUGCCUAACACAUGCAAGUCGAACGAGACCUUCGGGUCUAGUUGCGCACGGGGGCGUAACGCGUGGGAACCUGCCCUUAGGUUCGGAAUAACUCCCCGAAAGGGGUGCUAAUACCGGAUGAUGUCUUCCGACCAAAGAUUUAUCGCCUUUGGAUGGGCCCUCGUUGGAUUAGCUAGUUGGUAGGGUAAAAGCCUACCAAGGCGACGAUCCAGAGCUGGUCUGAGAGGAUGAUCAUCCACACUGGGAAUGAGACACGGCCCAGACUCCUACGGGAGGCAGCAGUGGGGAAUAUUGGACAAUGGGCGAAAGCCUGACCCAGCAAUGCCGCGUGAGUGAUGAAGGCCUUAGGGUUGUAAAGCUCUUUUACCCGGGAUGAUAAUGACAGUACCGGGAGAAUAAGCACCGGCUAACUACGUG
rnacentral:rRNA from 1 species